GUAAAUAAAAAGAAAGUAAACAAAGUAGCACAGGACACAGCAAAUUGCAACCAGCGAACCCCAACUAAUGAAGUGUAGUGAUACUCUUUUAAUACAUAGCACUACUUGCAAGGAUAUUCUGAUCCAUUCUCUGAAGACUAACCAUUGUGGCCCACUCCACCCACAUGGGAAUGGGUAUGGAUGAAACCAAUAUAUCUGAUAAUUGGGCGGGCACCAGUCAAGUUCCUUUUCCUUGUUGAAUCUGUUGAAGAAGAGCUGCUGCCAGCUGUAAUGUUGCUUGCAGGCGUUUCUGCGGAUCUCCAUCUUCUGCUUCUUGUGUACCAGUACUUGGCAUCUGAGGAUUCGUUGAAGUCCCUGGCUGAACCUCCCUUGGAAGUGGGGCUUGUACUGCUUUAGGCACAUUUGAUGCCUGCUGCUGCUGCAACUGUUGUGGUUGACCAAAUUGAGAUGUUGGAAUCUCAGAACCUACCCGAUUAUUCUGUAUAGCAUGUGUGUGUGCUGUUCUAAACUGGUUCUCCAACUGAUUCAUUGUGUUUGCGUGCCUAAUAUCUUCUCCCAUGGAUACAUUUGCAUUGCUCCCUGGUUGUCUUUGCUGCCCAAGAAGAGAUGAAGCUAGUUGUGCAAGUUGUUGCGGUUGCAAGCCAGCAGCAGGCAGAGACAGAGGAACCGAGGAUUUAUUUUCCUGAAGGAAUGGCUUGCUGGUUCCAGAUGCUAGGUUACUUGAUAUGCCAGCUGCAUGAAGAGCUAAGC
rnacentral:misc_RNA from 1 species